UUUUUUUUUUUUUUUUUGGUGACAGGGUCUCAGUCCAGUUGCCCAGGCUGGAGUGUAGUGGCACAGUCUUGGCUUACUGCAGCCUCGACUUCCCAGGUUCAGGUGAUUCUCCCACCUCAGCCUCUGGAGUAGCUGGGACUACAGGCAUGCACCACCAUGCCUAGCUAAUUUUUGGUAUUUUUGGCAGAGACGGGGUUUUGCCAUGUUGCCUAGGCUUCCCUGAACAUUUUGGUUACGUUAGCCAGUCCACUCCUCUUUUCACCUUAAGCCAUUUGAACUGAGUUUCUAUCACCUGUGGUUAAACAGGCCCUGAUUAACAUUACUUAGCAAAGGUUUUCUUGUUUGUUUUUUAAGAGACAGGAUCUCACUGUGUCACCCAGGCUGGAGUGCAGUGGCAUGAUCAUGGCUUACUGAAGCCUCCAAUUCUUGGCCUCAAGUGAGCCUCCUCCCUCAGCCUCCAAGUAGCUGGCACUACAGGCAUGUAUCACCGUGCCUGGCUUAUUUAUUUAUUUAUUUAUUUAGGUAGAGAUGAGGUCUUUCUGUGUUGGCCAGGCUGGUCUUGAAUUCCUGGGCUCAAGUGAUCCUCCUGCCUUAGCCUCCCAAAGUGUUGGAAUUAUAGGCAUGAGCCACCAUGCCCAGCCGGCACAGGUCUUUUUAUUUUAUUUAUUUAUUUUUUGAGAGGAAGUUUUGCUCUGUUGCCCAGGCUGGAGUGCCAGUGGCAGGAUCUCAGCUCACUGCAGCCUCCACCUCCUGGGGGUCCAGCGAUUCUCCUGCCUCAGGCUUCCAGGUAGCUGGGAUUACAGGCACGUGCCCCCAUGCCUGGCUAAUUGUUUUUUGUAUUUUUAGUAGAGACGGGGUUUCACCAUGUUGGUCAGGCUGGUCUCAAACUCCUGACCUCAGGUGAUCCACCCGCCUAGGCCUCCUAGACUGCUAGGAUUACAGGCAUGAGCCACCACACCCAGCCAACACACAGGUCUUUUUAAAUGGUAUUCGUUGAGAGCAAUCUGUGAAGGGCUUGGCACAUAACAAGUGCUCAAUAAAUGUGGGUUAUCACUGCAGAAUCUAAAGCAGGAAGAGGUUGAGUGGUCCACCCUGCCACUCAGGGCAUUGAUUCUCCCCAUGACUUCCUUAAUGGAAUGUGAUCUUAGGCUCUGCUUAAAUGCCUCCAAGGACAAGGAGCUCACUCUUUUCUUCUCUCAGGAGUCACUCUUGUCUCUAUCGGCAACAGUCCCAAGAGUCUCCAACCCCAGCCCCAGCCCCAGCCCCAAGACUCACCCUGCAGCUGGGAGAAGCGCAGGGCAGCGGCAUUGAGCGCCUCCACCCGCUCGCUCUGGGCCACAAUGUCUCCCUCCAGCAGUCCAUGCUUCUGCAACAGGUCAUCUGCCUCCACCAGGUGCUGCCCACACUCCGGGGACAGCAGCUGAGCCUACAAGCGGGGACAGCACUGAGCUCUGGCACUGCCCUGGCCACUCGCCUCUCCCCCAUCGCCUGUGCCAGCCCCUGCUGCUCUGCACUGUCACUCUUGACUCUGACCCGUCUUGGAGAGAUAUGGACCAGCCUCAAGACCCUCUUACCAGCUCUGUGGCCUGGGCCUCAGUUUCCUCAUCAGAAAGAAAAAAGCCGAGCCCCGGCUGUUGUCGGCUCUCACAGCUAGCAAUGGUGUUCUGUCUCUGUCUCCCUCUUUCUCUACCUGUCUCUCUCUGAAUGUUUCCAUCUCUCGUGGACUCUACAUUUCUGGGCUUUGUCUCUGUCACAGCAGCUCAGUCUCUGCUUCCAUGUCUUUCUUGUCUAUACAUCUUUGUCUCCAUCUCUCUCUGCAUCUCUCUUUCUACAUUUCUACCCCUUUCUCUUUCUCUCUGUCUGUAUCUUCCUUCCUUCCUUCCUUCUUUUCCUUCUUUUUUUUUUUUUCCUCUUCUUCUUUUUUUGAGACAGAGUCUGGCUCUGUCGCCCAGGCUGGAGUACAGUGGCACGAUCUCGGCUCACUGCAAGCUCCGCCUCCCGGGUUCAAGCGAUUCUCCUGCCUCCCGAGUGGA
rnacentral:lncRNA from 1 species